GGAAUUGAGAGAACAGAUUUUGGUAGAUAGAUACAAAUUACAAUCGAUCUCUGCUUUUGAACCUCUGAUAAUAUAAAAAUGAUGAAUAUACACAUUCACAAGUCACCAUGUAAUUCCUGAACAAAUACGAACUGAGAAUAUAAUGAAAGAAUCAGCAGUUGCUCUUCCUUUCUAUAAUGGGGGAAAUGCCUCUCAGGACUCUUGACUCACAGUGGACUUCACUCCAGUUUUUCCUUAUAAUUUUGGCAAAAUUUUCUUUUUCUUUCUGUGCUAGAUUAAAAUUUUGGUUUUUGUAUGUUAGAAGAAGCUCCAUUUUUUGUCUUUGUAAUUUCUUCAAUUAUUUGAACUUUUUAGAGGCGUAAAACACAUAAUACGUGCCACUCACAUGCUAAUUUUAUUAAAACAAUAACAAAAAAUUAGUUUUUUUUUAAAUACAGAAAAAAAAUUAGGUUACUAUCUUUAGAUUAUAACAAUUUAUAAAGUAUCGGGUUCAAAUAGUCUAUACCACCAAAAUCAAAAUUUUGUACCUUUUUUUUUUUUUUUUUUUGGUACCAAUCUUAGUACCGUUCAUGACUCGAGAAGUUUGCAAAUACUUCAUCAACAAGUAAGUAUAUCUUCCUUUCAACUUCUACUUUCCUAUGAGCUUUUAGCUUUAGCUGUUAUACUAGUCCAUUGAUUGUUUCAGACCAAAAGUUGCAUUAUAUGUACGGGAAAGAAAGAAACUCGCCAUCCAGAACCAAAAACAAAAGAAAAGAAACCCGCCACUUCCAUGUAGCUGUGCAGCUCAAGAUUCUCCUGUGUUAUCUCUCUUUAAAAAGGCAGGUUGAUCAAAUGGAAUCAUGGCUUUUCUGACUAGAAAAGUGUAAAUUUUUUUUGGUGUAUGCUGCAGCUUUUCAAAAUGUGGGAUCUGCUUGGGCUAUAGGGGCUCUAUCAGAGUCCAUAGAUUUAGAGACAGCUCCGGUGAGGCUUAAUGAUAUAGGGUCCCAAAUCUCUUUUAUUGGGGAUACCUUUUUGCAUAUAGGCUCUAUAUUAUAGAGCCCCAAGGAGGUUGAGCCCCAUUUAAGAGCACCUCCACCCCAAAAGGCAAGGGUAGACACUAUUCAUGUGAAUAGUGUCAGCCUUGCUUUUUUUGGUUUUACCCCAAAGGGCAAGGGCAAGGGCAAAUACUAUUCACCUUACUUUAUUUUUUAUUAUACUUAAACCAUUAAUUUUGAUAAGCUUUUUUAGAUAAUAUUUUACCUUUUGCUUGAGCCUUCUUCUUCUCUUUCUCUUGCUGAAAAGCCAAUGAGCAUGGGCAAUGUCGGAAUAUCAUAUCCUCAAUCUCUGAGCAUGGUUGAGAAAACCAACCGGCCGACAUUUCUUUCCACCAAUGGAUAAAAAUAUUAGAGUCACCAAACCGGGAAUCUCUAAUCAGAAUACUAAAGGAUUUCAUCAAGUCUUGGUGGUGGUGGUGGUUGUGGUGGCACGCCCCACACUCAAGAGAAGAAUGAUCAAAAGUUCCUUCCGUUGGCCGCUUCGGCCGAAAAGAGGGAAACAAAAGUACACAUUUAGAAGAGCUAGUUGUGUAUACUUCAUCAAAGUAAAGGUUAUAAACACGUUCAUUACUAGAACUGAGGAAUUAGUGAGAGUCUCACCAACACACGCAGACUCGAACAGAGACAUAAUAUCUUUUCUUGUUUGGGCUAUCGACGGAUAAUUAAUCACAAUAAAUGAAAAGCAUGAAAUUGACAAAGUGAAAAAAAAAAUAAAAUCUUGAGUAAAAGGUAGAGGUAGAGGCAGAGUGUCCUUAAAAAGUUGAACAGGAGUAAUAGUAGAAGGAGGAGCAUAUGAUGGGCCUUGAUACGGAGAAACACGGAGAGCUUUUGAAGGUGAGGCAGAGGAAUAGGAAUAACGUGGCCUCAGCCCUCCGUGGUCUCGUCCAGGUUGCUCUGUAACUCACAUAGAGAUAGACAGAGACACGGGUUUAAAACAUCAUGAAACAAAAAAACCCACGAAAAUGAAAGAAGUUUAAGUAAAAAUCUAACCUUUGCGAACAGAAGGCGUAAAUGGAGAAGCGGACAAUUGGGUUUGCAGAAGAGAAGCAGGGCAAUACUUUGAAGGAGAGGGAGAAGGAGAGGGACAUUGAUAUUGUGGUUUAUUACGGAUCAUCCACAUGAUGAAGCCACUGAGGGUUUUGAUUACUUUUGCCUCGUUGAUUUCAUGGAGGAGUUGGAGGGCCUUCUCCUCGCCCAGCAAACCCAACCUCCGCCUGACGUUGUAGUCUGGCUGGGGUUGCUUUCUCUCAUUACAAAGUUGGUUCAGCAAAUCCUCCACCAACGGAGGCAGAGCAAUGUGCUGUUGCUGCUGCUGCUGCUGCAGUUGUGGUUGUGGUUGUAUACAAGCAUCGUCGGCCAUGGCCGUCUGUGGCUCGACCAUGUCAUUGCUACUGCUGCUGUGAAAGUGGUUGAUAGGUGAAGAGAGAUGAUCGGCGGCAUCCGCCAUCUCUAUGCAACUGCGUUUCAAAUUGCUCUGAUUAUUCAUUUACACUUAGCUUUCUGGUCUGACUAAAUGGUAACUCUCAAGAUUCAAGCUUUAUGGGGACCAGAUUUUCAUUGAGCUACGCUUUUGUGCUUGGAUUGACAUGUCACUCAACUAAUAAUAAAUCUAUUACCCUGACUCAAGGAUCCUCUUCCUCUAUAUAAUGGAGGAAAUGCCUCUCACCAACUCUGACUCAUAGUUGAUUUCACUCUUGUUUUUCCUUAUAAUUUUGGCAAAAUUUUCUUUUCUUUCUGUUCUAGAUUAGAACUUUGGUUUUUAUAUAUUUGAAGAAACUCCAUUUUUGGUCUCUGUAGUUUCUUCAAUUAUUUGAACUUUUUAAAGGCGUAAAACACCUAAUACGUCGUGCUAAUUUCAUUAAAACAAUAACAAAAAUUAGGUUAUUAACUUUAAAUUACAACAAUUUAUAAAUUAUUGGGUUCAAAUAGUGACUAUUAAAGUUGUAGAGAAUAAAGUGGAACUUUGGCCAAACUAUAGCCACCAAAAUCAAAAUUUGGUACCUUUUUUUUUUUUUUUUCUGCACCAAUCUUAGUCCGUUCAUGACUUGAGAUAUUUUCCUUUCAACUUUUACUUCGUCACCAAGUCUAUCUUCCUUUCAACUUUUACUUUCCUAUGAGCUUUAAGCUUUCUCUUUUAUACUAACUAAUCCACUGAUUGUUUCAUACCAGAAGUUACAUCAUAUGUAUGGGAAAGAAAGAAACCCGCGAUCCAGAACCAAAAAAGAAGAGAAAAGAAACCCGCCACUUCCAUGCAGCUCAAGAUUCUCCUGUGUUAUCUUUCUCUUUAAAGAGGUCGAUCAAAAGGGAAUCAUGGCUUUUCUGACCAGGAAAGUGAACUUUUUUGGGGGGAUACAUGGAGGUGGUGGCUGGUUGGGGUUGGGAGGAGAAGGGGAGAGGUUUUAUUUUAAUUUUUACAUUGUACUUUUUUAUAAUUAUAUUAAUAUUGUUUAUUUUCAAAAGAGAUUAAUUUUUUAAUAAUUCCCCUCAAUAAGUACUGGCAGUUAGAAAAAAAUUGACAGAAAUUGGACGUUGUACUCGGAUUGCUUGGAAUUAAUAACCACAUAGGCACAAAUGACCAAAUUGAAAACACAGGACCAAAAAUGACUUCUUGCCAAUUCCAAUCGACCUCUGCUUUUGAACCUCUGAUAAUAUAAUAAUGAUGAAUAUUCAUACAUGUGUAUUUCACAUUCACUAGUUCAAGUCACCAAGUAAUUCCUGAACAAAUACAAACUAAGAAUAUAAUGAAAGAAUCAGCAGUUGCUAUAUAUAUAUAAUGUAUAUAUUUGUAAGAAAAUUUCACAUCUGCAAUGCAGAAAGCAAUUUUGGUUUGGAUGUACAGCGCAAUCAAGCAGUGCCUACCUCACAAACAUUAUUAGGAUAUCAACAUUUUGCAUGCGCAUCCUCGACAAAGAAUGGAGAUAAAACCAUCAUAUAUAUCUUCACUCGACAAUCAAGGUUCACUUGCUUCCGUUUACUUCUUAUAAUUAGAUAUUAGACGCAUCACUCUUGGCGCAUUCUAUGCUUGUUGAACUUGAGAAGACUUUUGUGGGUGUGGCAUGAGUUGCUUCUACCCAAUCAUGGUAAGUUAGUGUUAGCAAGUCCCAUAGACUCUGCAACUUCUCUUGCGGAAAAAUUGUCCGCUUGUGCCUGCAUAUAAAGUACACAUUUAGAAGAGCUAGCUAUGUAUACUUCAUCAAAGUAAGAGGUUAUAAACACGUUCGUUACUAAUAUGAUAUGUAAUUGGAAUCAUAGCUUCUUAUACAAAUUGUGAUGAAGUAGUAUGCAUACCUGAAGGCGAUGCAGCAAAUACAUCAAGAAGAGAUGUACAAAUACCUGCACAUGAAUUAUUCUGGUUAUUUUGUGAUUUGAUUCACUCCACAUAGUAUGUCUGCAUAGUUAAGACUCUUUAAACGCAUGUUUAACUGUUUUACCAGGUAGAAUAGCAAGAUAAGUCGAGCUGUUGGAUAACGCCAGAGAAAUCUUGUGGCCCUGACAGCUCCUGAAUCUAAUAGUUUUGCUGCCUUCUGCAACUGCAUGAGACAAGGUGAAACUUAAAGAGUAUGAAAAGGAGAUCAAGAAUAAUGAUAGAUAAGAAAAUAUGUACCUGUACGCUUGCCCCAACCAUAUGACGGUGAUGCAAGGGAAGAGGCCUGCAGAUUUUUUUCUUUUAUUAAGCUUCCAAAAACUAAAAUAACUAUGAAGCCAUAACAUACAUUUAUAAACUAACAUGUAUGCAAGUGCAUUGAAGUAAAGAUGUAGAGGAUAGAUGAUGGCAAAGUAUAAAGAAAGAAAACGCAUUACUUAGCGAGUCAACAUACUCAAGUGCCUUCAUUUCAGCAUCUUCUUCCCAGGAUGCUGAUGCUCGACGGGGAACUCUACUCCUUUCUGCCUCUACCUGUUCAAUAUAAAGUGAAUUCAAAUACAGAAGGGAAAAAAAUGAGAUUUUUAAAAAUAAAAACAAAACUGGACUCUAGAAUCUAUAUAAAGCCUAUCAACCAAGCAGCAUAAAACACCUAGGGACAGACCUGAGCUUCCUGGAGACGCUUCAAUUCCUUCUCCAAGUGAAACUCAGCUGCAGCUUUUUCACUAGCCAUGGUUUCUAAUUGUGUUUGCUUGUAGUACUGAAUAAUAGAUGGAAUAAGACAUCUCUUCAUAUAGUACCGAUAUGUAACUGACCAUGUAAAUAAGUUUUUUUUUUUAGUGAGAUUACCAAUAGAUCAGUUAGUUCACGGUAGCGCUUCUCUAGCUCCAUGUGUUCCUACAAAAUGGCAAAUAUAACCAGUAAAUAACAUAGUGCUUACGGAUAAUUCAUACCUAGUAGAACUCAUUAUAUAUUUUUGAGAGAGAGAGAGCAGAUAUCACCUGACGCGAGUAAUGCUCUGCAUCCCUCUUCAUGGCAGCCAUUUCAACUCUCAUUUUUUGCAUUUCGGCCUGAAAUCAAGCAUAUCAAUAAGUGUUAUAAAAACAAGUUGUCGAACGAGGCAAAUAAAUUCAAAACACAAAGAUCAAAAAAUUGAUCAUAACAAAACUGUUAGGCAAAAAACAAAGGACACUUACCUCCAAAGAAGAAAGUUUUCCCUCUGCAUCCCUCUGACCUUGGCGUGCACGUUCCACUUCUUCCUGCCAUGCCUGCAUCUUAGCAUCCAUUACUGUGAGUGAGUACAAUAAUACAGUGGUAUUUAAUCAUCCUCAACUGAUUGUGCCCAUACUAAAGCACUCUAUAAUAUAUCAGAAUGAAUAAUGCACAUAAACAAUUACAAGUUGUCCUUCUAUGCUAUUUAGAUUGCAGGCAAACAAAACAAUUAAAAUUACUGGAGUUAGAAGCUUGGCAAUGUUCUAAAUAUCAGACUAAAGAUACAACAAAGAAUAUCACGCCUAUAAAAAUCCUGGCAUGAGAAAGAGAGUUCAUACACCGGCCAAAGGAAAAUUUGGAUUCGUACUUCUAACACAUGACAUAUGUGACAAUGAGACAGUACUUAUUACCAAGUGGGAAAAUUCUCACUUGAAGUUCAAAGUAUAAAUAAAAUGUAGUAAUUUGCUGGGAUCAAGAAAAAUAAAUUCUCCAACUGAACUAUUGAAUCGAAAAUAUGAAAAGGAGUUCAGAUGUAAAAUCAACAGAAGGAAUACCUGAAUCACUUGAUUUGCCUCUUCUGGUGACUUCUUUUGCCCGCGCCGAGCACGAGCUUCCAUAUCUUGUAGCUCUUGGUUUAAAUUGGCACAUUCAACCUGAUGGCAUAUAGUACUAUUAUCCAAGAAGCUCCACCAAUGAACAGAAACAUCAAUACAAAAUAAUUUAGAAUGUUUGUUCUACCUCAAGCAAUGCCAUCUUCUGCUCAAGCUCCGAUGCCUUUGCUGUCCUCUCAUCUGCUGUUCUCUGAAUAGGGAAGCAUUUACAACAAUCAGUAAAUUAUGGUCAAACUCACAGAUUUAUAUUGCUCUUGGAAAAAAAAACAGAAACACAAGAAAAUGCAACAUCUUCCUAGACAGAACAAUGAAUUGUAGGCCGAACUCUUAACUUCAUAGAUACUUACACAAAGUAUAAUUCCCUUGAUAAAAAUCUCAAUGAAGAACAAAAAUUUGUAAAGAAUCAAAAGGUAACACAUUCAUUAGAUAUAAAAACCUUACAUGCAAUUGCAUUGCAAUAGGGUUCAUUUAAAAGCAAACUAAGACGGGUAGUAAACAUACAUGUCUACAGAGACAUGGAGAAUAAAAAAUAAUAAUCUCAUUAAAAAACAAUGGGGUAAAAGUAUUCUCAUUAAUACAAAGAGUCACAAACUUGAAAAGGGCUUACUUUACCUGGAUCCUAGCAAGGGCUGUGGAUGCCUCAAGGGCUCUGUGUUCCAAUUCUACUUCCCUUUCCAUUGCAGCCUGUUUUACAAGAAAGUGAUCAUCACAGUGCAAGAAAACAACCAGGGAGACAGAAAAUUAUUAUUAAUAGUUUGUUGUAGAUACAAACCAUUUUGGUAGCAUUAUGUGCAGCACGCUCUUCUUCUGCUCUCCGUUCUACAGUAGACAACUCCUCUCGUAAAGCCUGAAGAAUAUUUUCUCACUAAUUUCAGAAUCUAAUAAUAAAAGCAGUAUAUGCAAGUAUAUGCUACAGGUCCAAAUACAAACAAGGAAGCAUCAUACAAUCUCACCUGCAUCAUCCUUGUCUCGGAUAGUUCCCUAUUUCUCAUGAUAGACUCCACGUUCGCCUGAUAUAUAAAAUUAAUUAAUUAAUUCAAAAUAAACUCUAACUAUUACCAAAGCCUCAACCAGUCGAAAAUAUAAGUCAAGAGAAUCCAAAGUUGCACCAGUUUCUAUAAAGGGUAGGCCAAAUAAGUAGAAGAAUAGAAUACUGAAAAAGUUGAACAUGGUAAGCAAAUGAGCCCUUAGUAUUACUAAAGCCUCUUCUCACUGUGUACCACUGACAGUGGCAGAGAGAGAGAGGAUACGAGGAAAGGAAUAUUAUACAUCCAUAAUUAAAUGUGGUGGGUGUAAUGAAACCUGCAGCGAAGCCAGAUUCCCUUCAGACAAAGCAGCCUGUUUCUUCAGUGCAUCCAUGGAACUGACAAGUGCCUCAAUUUCUGAAUUUUUUGCAGCCAAGGCCUCAACCAUAUUUGACUCUAUUCUUGUCACAUCACUUUUGGAUGCUGACAAAUCUUUCUGGAGCUGUUUUAUGCGAGCUUCAUAUGACUUAUUCAGCUCUCUCUAUCAAAAUAGCAGUCAACAAGUAAGACCAAAGCAAUAAAUAUAUCAUAUGCCUCUACAGUUAGUUAUUCACUUAAUCCUUGAAAUAUAGCAGGAAUUUGUCUCACUUCUGACACAAGAAGUUCCUCUAGCUGUGCAUUUUCAGAUUUGUAUUCUUGAAGUCGGGACGAAAGUCCAGCACAAACCUAUCAAUGAUAACCAACGGAUUAACAAAGCAUUGAAACCGAAAAUUUCUAACCAGUACAAAACUUCUAAAGGAGGAAAAAGCUUGUUAGAGUAUGUGUGAAACAGGUUCAUCUGAUUUAAGGUGACCUUUUCUGAGAGACUAACUGAAAGAAAAGUGGCAUUCCUACUUCAAAUUAUGACUGUAAUAUCAAACAAACAAUGAAGAAAAACAGAAAUUAAUAGGGCUUACCCUUGCUAACCUUGCCUCUUUAGACUGACCAGUGGAAACAGCAGUUUUAAGCAAUCCUUGGGCCUGCACACCAACUAAAAAAACUACUCAAUAAUAGCCUAAAUGGCAAGUAACAAGAUUCACAGCCAAAAUAAAUGAAGUAUGCGAGAUAUUCACCUCAUAGUAAAUAACUUACCUCCUCAAUUUGAUCCUGUUCCUGUACUUUCACAGGAGUGCUACCAGCUUUAUGCUCAAGUUGCUUACUUUGAUCCAGUUCCUGUACUUUCGCGGGAGUACUACCAGCUUUAUGCUCAACUUGCUUACUUUGAUCCUGUUCCUGUACUUUCACAGGAGUGCUACCAGCUUUAUGCUCAACUUGCUUACUUUGCUCAAUUACUGGUUCCUCAUUAACAUCAGCAACUUUAGAUUGAGUUUCUCUGUUACUGAUGGCAGUGGUAGUUGUAGACUCUGUUCUAUUUUGGUCAGUUUCUGGAUGUACAUCUGCGUCUCUAGAUUUGUUUUCUUGGCCAGCAUCAACUGAUUCAACUUGAUGGUUUUCAUCCACAACCUCAACUUCUUUGGCAGAUAAUGGAAAAGGAUGUUCUUCAUGACCAUCUGAGGGAAUCUCAUUGACAAGCUCACCAUUUGAAGUUGAAGUAACAGCUUCCUUAUCAGUACUAGUUGUUGACGCUUCUGCUUCAUGAGCAUUACUCUGACCAACUUCAAUUGCUGUUGUCUCUGUUAAAGGAAUGCUUACUGUGGAAUCUUUCUCAAGAUUCUGUUGCUUCUCAUUGAUGGGUUGACUUGAAGGAUUUACCGAUGGUGUCCCAUCAUUGUCAUUUAAAUGAGCAUCACUGUCUAUUUCAGGAGUCGCAUCUACUUGUGAUGUCAAUAUACUUGUCUGUUCGCGUGCAGAAUCACUUGUAUUAGGAGAUUCAUUCAUGGACUGUCUCUUUUGAGCCUGCAAACAACCAAUAUGUGAGACAAAGAAGUUGAUAAAUUUCUAUGUAUGUGCGUUUGUGAAACAGUACUCCGUAUUUUCAUAGGUAAUCUGGCAAUACCUUGGUCUUUGACUUUUUCCUCUUGGCUUGAGAUCCUUGCCCAUUGGAAGCUUCACAAGAGAAAGACAAAAAUAAAAAUUAGAAACAGACAUGGUGCGUCUUAACAGUACAUUUUAGGAAAGAAGAAAAGAAAAAGAGAAGGGACCAACUAGAUAAGUGGGUAAAGUCACUUGGUGUCAUCCCAACUCAAAAGGACUUAGGCUAGGGAUGGGGCAGUUUAUGGAAUGGAAAACUAAUACGUAACCCAUUUGUGCAAUGGAACUCCAAACCAAAACAAAACAAAAUGUAUAUAAAAGAUUCCAAGACAAUUCAAAGAUAAUACCUGGUGACUGGGUAGCCAAUUGAUCGUCUAACUCACUGACAACCAGCUUUGCCCUCCGAUCGACAACUUCAAACAGAUCUGAGGCCAGAGAAAAGGUGAUAAAAUUUUACACAUCAAGGGCAGAAGAAAAGACACAUUAUUAUAAGGAUUUUGAUGUGGGGCUUGUACAAGGAUGAUAUAGAGAAUAAAUGAUCGUAUUGUUCAUAUGGAUGGUGCAGGCGCUCUUUUCUUUUUUGAUGAAAACUCAAGAAACUAGUCUUGAACUGAACCAGGGACCUAGACUGAGCUGACCAAAUUUCUCUAGCUCACUUUCAUGUCAUUUCACACAAUUCAUGAACUGUGGCAACUCCCAGUUUUUGGGUUUAUCAGACAUGCAAAUGUGUCCAAACUGAAUUCGAUAUUCAACAAUUAACUCCAAAAUGCUAUUCAAGAAACAAAUACCCAAUGCCAACGGCAUCGCAAUUAUCAGACAUGCAAAUCUAAACCUAACCCCAUUAUUGCUACUUUAUGCUUAACAACCCCAAACAUCGUCCCGCAUUAUAUCAUCCACUAAACACCUCGAAUAAUUUCAAUCAGCAUAAGAUCAAACCCUAAACAUAUUCCAAAUCUAAAUGAAAACCAAAUUAAAUAUUAAAAAAACCAGCAAAUUAAGAGAAAGAACAGAAGAUCCAAACCUUCAGCAGCUUUGAGCCAGGAAGACAUUGGAACAAACCGAAUUCGGAUCUAGCAACAACCGUGGCUUAGAGACCGACUAAUGGAGCUUCCAUGUAAAAAAUGGGAAGAGAUUAUCAAACUUCGUGAAAUGCGUCCCCUCAACUCGCAAGGUGUGAAGAAGGCAGUCGUGACUCGUGACGCAGUUAGUUGAGAAGGUUUUGCGCUAACGAGUAAAACCGAAGAAAGAACAGAAACAGAGAGACGAAGUUGUUCAGGUCAGAUCACGACCACCGUAUCCGUAUUUGGGCUAAUGUGUAGGGACUUGGUGGGUUGAUAAAUGGGCUUGGCCCAAGUUAAGAGCCCAUCCAACAAAAGCAAUACGGGGCUUCAAAUCUUGUAAACCUCGAAACUCAGGCCCAAAUUUAAUCGGCCUCUCCAUUACUUCUUUAGCUAGGCACUCGUCAUUUUUCAAUCGGUUUUUAGUGUGUUAUCAUUUUUUUAAUUUAAAGAUUGGGCUUGAAGGGUCUUUUUCUAAUUUGUAAAGUUAUCAUGGGAUUAAAUGAGUCACCUACAGUAAGGGCCUUAUUUAGGUGAAGUCAUAUUUCUUAACCGUUGAAUGAAAUUAACCAAUUUGAUCCAAUUACUAACUAAUUAAUUUCAUCCAACGAGUAAGAGAUAUGGCCUCAUCUAAGGGCCUUAAUAAGACCCCCACUAUAGAAUUCUACGGGAUUAUAUGUGACGUUCUCAAAGUAUUGUUAUCAAAAUAAAGAGAUUAAUAAAAUUUCGGGUUUAAUUGACCAUAUUUCUAAUUUUCUAUUAACUGAAAAUCAACUUGCGUGGACGCUGGAUUUUGAUAGGGAUAUUCAGAAACCACAAAAUGUGGCACUCAAACUUUGUAUAAUUAUUUUGGGCAAUGAACUUUAUAAGAAUCUCAAGAUUUUAUAACGUACAAUUAAUUAAUGGUUGAAUCAAAUUUUGGAAAUUGAAAGAGAAAGUGGUUAACAAUUAAUUUGUGUGUCGAUGUCAAGUAAUCAUGCAUGGCGCAUGUCUACAAAGACUGGCAUUGGCUCUUCAAAAAUUCAGAAAUUAAACUCCAAAAAUUUUAAAAAAAUUAUAAAUAAAUAAAGAAGAAGAAAAGUUAAUAACCAUGAAUAUUAAUUUAAUGAUGAUCUGUACAUAUAUAGUUGCAUUCAUUUGCAAGAUAAGCAUGGGAGGAGGGCGAGAGAGAGACUGAGAGAGGAGGCUCUUUAGUGCUUGAGAGAGACUUUUCUUCAAUCAUGCAACCAUACAUCACAAUCUCUCACCUACUCUUUAUAAUUAGAGUCAUUCUCUUCGUUUCUUUUUUACCAUUUUUUUUUUCUUUUACUCCUCAAGAUCUAUAAAGCCGACAAUUGUUAAGUAAGUAGCUGGUUUUAGUUUGUAAACUUUUAUAUAGUUUGGAGAAACUUUAAGAUGCAUUUUCAUAUUAUAUGUAUGCAUGUAUGUGCAUCAAUAUUGGUGUUGGUGAAAAUGUAUCGUUAUUAUAUAUGUCGGUAUGUUUUAGUUGCAGUAAUAAUAUUGAUAUCUUAUCGAUAAUUCUAUUUUUAAUAAAGAUAGAUCGGACAUCAUGUACAAAGCCAUGCUAUAUUGCGCAAAACUAUUCAUAGAAUAUAUAUAUGGUAUUUUUUAGGAGUUUAUACAAUCAAUAUUUUAUUUUAAUUUAAUCUAAAUUAUAUGAAGUGGGAUUCGAACUCGAGUGCAGAGUUGAAAGCACAUAUACUCUAACCAACUUAACUAAGUCCAUGUUAAUAUACAUAUAUAUAUAUAAGUUUAGAAAAGGUUACAACAUGGUAAUUCAUAUUUUUGAAUGAAGUUUUGUGCUCGUGAUCUGUUAGACAAGGUUAAUUUCAAGAGUGGUAGUUGUUAAUUUGUUCCUUUGUUUCGUCUAUUUAAUUUAUUUUAUGUUUUUAGGAUGUGUUUGGGGCAAUGUAGCAUUCUGAUAUCAAGUAAAAGACUUUGGUAAUGCGAUGUUGGGCACCUCUAAAUAUUAUUUUUUUACUUUUUGAAAAGUCAAUAUGCAAAAAAGAAAAAGUGAGAUGGACCCACCAUAUUACGUAUUAAUAAAUAUAGUUGAAAUGAAAAAGGCAAAGGAGGAUAAUAAUAAUAAUAAUAAUAAUAUGAAGGAAAAUAAAAAGUUCAAGACUGAAAUUGAUCAGCAUAGAAUGAUUAUUCAAUAUUUUAAGUUUAAUGUAAUCAAUUUGAUAAAAAAAACAUAAUUAAAAAAUAAAUAGUUCAAUAUAUACAAUCAAUUGUGUAUUAGCUUGUCUAGUGAAGUGAUUGCCCCUUUGUCUUAAUUGUAACCUGCCCCCACAAUCUUGUGAAGAUCUAUUAGAUGGAGCACGAGCAUGCACUAAUCAAAACUAAAGACAAAGUUGCUGUCAAUUUUGAUAUUUCUUAUCGAAUUUAAAACCAUGAUUUGAUUAACCACUAUAUCUAAGCUAACUCUCUUGCAUCUUUCAUUAACCUUUAAACCAAAACAAUAAUAGGCCGGAGGAUUUCAGUCUGACUGGUGUUUAUAUCCGUCAUUUUAUAUAUGUAUUUCUACAAAUCAGCAUAUUAUAUAUAUAGUCUAUUUUUAUUGAGAAAUUCUUUAAAUAAACUACAAUAAUAAAUGGUACAGAUCUUUAAAGAAAUACCUAAAAAUUAGACGGAGAUAUAUAUAUAUAAGUUAUAACUAUACUCCAAACCAAUUAUGAGGGUUAGUAUACAUGUGACCUAAAUUUUGUGCUAGCUGGCCAUGGCCACCACCAUAUAUAUGUAAAUUACCUUGCAAAUGAAAAUUUGUGGCGAUCUUUAAUGUCCAGUUCAUUGCAUUGGUAGUGACCCUCUAACAACGUAACCAAACUGGACCAGAACCACUAGUAUCGCCAUCACAAACGAGGACUGGACAGACAAACCCUAAACACUAAUAAAUCCAAAGCUCCUACUCACCAACCUGGAAAGGCAAUACAUUAAAAACUCACACACGAGGUCAAGACAAACAUAACGCUCUCUCUUUAGAGCUCCUUUGCCAGGCAAUUAGUCGCAGUAGGUACAAAGGGCUCUCUAUAGCUUUAUAAAAAGAAGAGAGAGAUUCACACAACAACACCCUUUUUCUUUUUCUCCUUUUUAUUACCAACAAACACAUUAAGACAACAAAAAAAAGGUAAAAACACAUCUAGUGGAGAAGAAUCAAAAUUAUUGCUCCAAAGAGCCUCGGUUUCAUCUAAACCUACAAGUCUAAAGCAGCUACAACAUCCUCACAUUAAGCAAUCUAGCUAGUACCCAAUUCCCAUAUCAUGAUUAGAAAACUAAGAAAGUUAAUUAACACUCAACGUGUGUCGUAUGUGCCGGUCAUAUAUAAAUAAUUUGGCACAAUAUGCACUCAGAAUCUUGCUAUAUGGUACAAACGAGAUUCAUAUACAUAAGUCGAGCAACGUUACAUGCAUAUAUGACCGGCAAAUACAAAAAUUCCUUGCGUGUGUGAGGAUACUUUUAUGUGCAAAUCACAAAGCUGAUACGGUGGCAAAAGCAAAUUAAUUAACCAUGCAUUGCUGAAGUUGAAAAUAAUAAUUUUUGGUCCACUGAUAAUCUCAUCGACCACGCAUGGCAUGGUAUGAUGGAGAUUCAAGAACAGCCGAUCUUUUCUGCAACUUGAGAUCUUUAUAAAACCUGUUAAUAAACUCCUCAGCUUCCUUGUCCACCUGGCUAUCCCCUUCCUCCUUUAACGGAAACGGAGAGUCCGUUAUCCUCAGCUGCCUCACCAUGGGGCUCUUCCCAAACCCCGGCAACGUCACUAACGGCGACGCCUCCGCCACCAUCUCAUUGUUUAGCAUCUCCAGCACCUUCUGAACCGCAGUCAUUGUGGUAACGUCGUCGUAUUGGUAGGCUCUGGUGGUCUUGGUAAAAUAGUGGUGGUGGUGUUUGUUGCGCUUGUUGAAAUGAAAAGGGUUGUGAAUGGCGGGGCUGUUGCUGCAGCUGAACUCGUAUUCUCGUGGUGUUAUGAAGGAAACGGCGUCGUUGGAGCGGCAGCUGAAGCCGGAGGAGUGGUGGAGCAUGAGGUUGUGGGCCAUGGCCUUGCCUGCAAGCUUGCCGCGUUUGAGCAUUAAAUGGAGGUCAACAAGUAGCUUGCUCUUUGAUAACCCUUUUCUCACCAUGAAGAACACUAUGCGUACUAAGUUCCACAAUUUUUUGGCCACCAUGGGUGGGCUUGGUUCCACUUCCAUUUGUAUAAUUGAAUGAGAGAGAGAAAGAGAGAGUUUUUGUCACACAGAGAGAGAGAGAGAGAGAGAGAGAGAGAGAGAGAGAGAUGAUUGGAAAUUCAGAAGGGUUUUUUUGGUUGGUUCGAGCUUGUAAGGGUGAGGGAGGGGAGGUAUUUAAAGGGGUUGGAAAUUAUUAUUUAAUAAUUAAAGAUUAAGAUGAUAAUUAUAUGGUGGAGGAGAUGUGUUUCAAUCUCUUUUAUGGUGCGUGUUGUUGCAGUCUCAAGAGAAGAAAAUGAAAAAAGGCAAAAUAAAGUGGAGAGUGUUUGUUUCACGCGUGUGGAUGAGUGAGGACAUAGGCAUUCCUAAGUGAGAGGAAUUUGGUGACAAUUUGCAAUAAUUUGUGUUUUGAUUGAUUUUUUUUUUAGUGGUUUAUAUGAUUGUUUGGCUUCGACAGAUUACUAGAAGGCCCCUAGGGUGGAACCAAAUUACUUAAGUAUGCUCCCACAUUCAAUGAUUAAAGAUAUUUUGGGAAGGUCCCAAGUGUCAAACAUAAGCCUUUUGCAAUAAGGUACUCAUAUCUUGGCCUUUUUCGAAAUGCGAAUCCUCCAUCUAUUUGUGUUUUUGGUGCUUGUAUUAUAAAUACUAGCCUCUCUGUACGCGCUUUCGCACUUGCGAGAGGUUUUUUAAAAAAAAUAAGUAAAUUUAUUUUAGAAUUAAAAAAGAUAAUGGGUAGUUGUGUUCCAUAAAAAUAGGAUCCAUUAUCUCCUUUUUCUUUUUCUUUUAAUUUUUUUAAAUAUGAAAAAGUGUGAAUUUAUCAUAUUAUCCUCAUUUAAUUAAUAAUUUGAAUUCUUAAUGUUUGCAUUAACCAAGGGCAUUUUCUGGUAUUUCGAAUGUUUCACCAUUCUCUGCCUUUUACUUUAUAUAUAUAGAUAAAAUAAUUUGCAAUAAUUUUUGUUCAAGUCCCUAAUUAGAAAUCAAAAUUCAUAUUAGCUAGUAUGAUAUAAUUAAGCACUAAAAACACAAUUAGGGCAUUUGGAUCCAUCAUGUUCUUAGAAGGAUCAUACAUAUUUUGAUGUUCUCCUGACAUCAAACGAAAUAAAAUGCAAAAAAUUAAAAAAGUAAUUAGGAAAACCAACCAGUUUUUGGUUACAAUAUAGGCAAGAGGUAAAGAUUGCAGGAAUUAGUCGAUUAGACUUGAGACUCACCCAAAGCUUAGCUCGAUCAUUAGUCGAUUUUAAAUGUGUUUUUAUUAGCCCCAAAUUUCCAUUCUUCUUACGUUCAAUCAAAUUGGUUUCAAGUUAGUUAAUGUCGUAGGGCAAUGCGAAUUUAAAUUAAUUAACAUGCACAAAUGGUCACUUUGACUCCAUAAUUGCCAUUUAAUUCAAAAAUACUUUGAAUAAAUUCAGGUAACGUGGCUUACUUUCAGCACCAGUUAACCUUCAUAGGCAAUAUGUAAAUUAGUUAUGAUCAAUAAUUAAUCGAUAUAAUGAUGAACAUUUGAAUUUGACAUCACUUUCGCCGGGUAAAAAUGGUGUUUUUCGAAGCAGCAGGCAUUAGACAAUGGCGUUGAAAAUUUUGGUUGCUACAGCUCCCAUGAGAGAGAUCGGGGGUUAGACUUGGACCCAGCCAGCCUGACAAGGUUGACAGGAUUGAAUAAGAGCACCUACUCUGAACACGUGGCCAUCUGUUUCAUUCCCAAAUGAAUCUUUCACCGUCCACGGCAUAUAUGAAAACCAACCUUUAUGUGUACCCAACAAAUAGUAUUGGUAGUUUCUGUUGAAGAAAGCAAGAAACCCUGCGAUAUAUUCUAUUAUUAUUUUUUCUUCUCCUCGAAGGAUAUCAUUGGGGCAAUAAAUUGGAUCCUUUUUCGCCACUUUUUCGCCACCUGAAUUGGCUAACCUAUUACGAUGUACAUGUUUUCAUGAUGAAAAUGCUAAGAAAACAUUGUCGACUUGACAAAGAAUAGCAUAAUUUGGUACCCAUCUUGCUUGCUAGCUAGCUUUUCCUUCUUUUCAACCCCAAACAAAAUGCUUUUAUCUUUCACGAUCGACUUCCACCUAACCUGCUUGGAAAUUCACUUGUGCUACACAACAUUGAUUUGCGUGCUGUCCUGGCAUAUGAUAUAUAAUAGAAUGUGGAGCAUGUAGGGUGGUGGACUUUGAGUCCUUGUUGAUGUGUGAGAGAUCAUUUUGAGAAAUGUGCAUAUAAAGAUUGAUAGUUUUACUUUUGUAUACGUAGGAUAAAUAAUUUUGAACUGUUGAUGCAUAUAAUUAAUAAUUAUUUUUGUACACACGUCGAUAUUGUCUUUGUCGUUUGCUCAUAUCAAAUAGUGAGAAUUUAAUGGAAACUAAAAAUGUGCAACCUGUCAGGGUUAGUGAUUUAGUUAUCAACGCUGUCUAAUUAGUCAUGCAAAUUGGGCAUGUGUGUUAGCCGAGUGAAAAUGAUUGGACGGAGCCGACUUUGGAUGAUCAUCAGUAGCUUCUAGAACUAUUAAGCCAUAAUCAAUUUUUGUGGUGAUGAACGAGCCACCAUUCCGGAUCCCACGCACUCGGCUACAUAAAACUUUGCCCUUCCAGAAAAACAAAAGAAAAGGCUGCAUAUAACUUUGGAAAAGGAAAAUGAAAAAAAAUCUUCUUUUUAUGGUCUUCAGUGAAAUUACUUUGGGGUUGGGUCACGAACGAAACCUAAAGGCUUUUCUAGACUUUAAAUUCCACCAAUGAGCAGUGGCCACGAAGGAAUCCUAGUACUGAUGAUGGUUGUCUAAUUUGAAGGCUUCUUUUAUAUAUAUAUUGAUCAUGCAUGCAAUAAUUUGUUAUUUAUUUAUUUAUUUAUUUUAUUUUGGGUAAUUGGGGUGGGGGUAUAUAUAUCAUAUUCAUGGGGCAUGUUUUUUUAUCAAAUUAAGUUGCCAACUCUUUAAUAUUGUCGGGGACUUGUGGUCUUAUUUUAAGUUUGAAAUUUCUACUUUCCAGCCUAGAAUUUAAGUUUAAAUUGUAAUGGAUGUAAGCUUGCAUAAGCUGUAGACAAAUAUCAGGCAAAACUAACAGUGCCUCUUUUUUUCCCCCCUUUCUGAUUAAAUUUGUUUUCUUAUAUAUAGAAGUGUUCACAUAAGAGAGUAAUUGAAGACAUGUUUUUUAUUUGCUUCUCAUUCAUUGCUCCUUUCCCGAAAAGAAAAACAAAAGGGUUUUAAAAGUUAACGGACUCAUGAUUUCAAAAUAAAGUGGACUAAAUUUACUUUAAGGAUGAAUUGUUAAUUUUGGAUUGAGCUAAACCCUAUAACCUACAUACUAACCAUAGGGAAAAAAUUAAGCUCGGGUUAGACAACCGAUGGGACCGUCAGAAAAAGUAUUAAUCCAUUUGAUUUUUUAGCUUAAGAUAAUUAGUUUAAUUAAGCACCUUCAUUUGCUGGUAUCCUUUAUGCUUUCCUAAAAUUAAUAUAGGAAAGACAACCAAACAAACCAGUCAACAUCAGUAGGGCAGUGCAUGUUUUUCCUUUUUCGUUCAAUAAAUCAUUUAGGCAACUCACUUUUCGUCUUUACUUCGAGUGGAAGAAGUGCAGAACAAAGUGUGUGUUUAAUUCAAAUGAAGCACUUUAUGUGGGGACUUUACGAAUUAGGAUUGGUUUGAAGUUUGAAGUGCUUUUAGGUUUCGAGGGUCCCUAAUUUCGUGGGAAAUUAUAUCCUAACAUUAACUUAAUGGUCUUAAUUAAUAGUGUUGUGUGCUACAUCCUAUGUGAGGAAAAAGAAACUAAAAGAAAAUAAAAAAGAGUUCGGGAGGAUUUGAAUUUGUAUCAUAUAUGAGUUUUACAUGUUUGUUUAUAAAUGUCUGAUAUAUCGCGUCUACAAUAUAAAUUUAACUUGUUCAACUAGUACUCUUCCUCGAAGCAUAUAUUCCCAUUGAUUGGGUUAACUUAACAAUCAAAACCAACUUGUCUUAUGAUGUUUACAUGCAGUUAAUUAAAGAUAAUAUAUAUGAUCAAAGUCAAGAACUUACAUAUAUAUAUGUAUUAUUAGGCCAACAAUUAUAGAGAGUGAUCAACACGGCAGGGACAUAUUCUAAUAAUUCAGUGAUGAGAUAUUAGCAGUUUCCAAACUUGGGAAGACGAAGAAAGAGACUAAACACGACAUUAAAAUUGAUUAAGAGCUUGACAAGUUGGUCAGAACGUCUACCAUUCUAUGAUAUUUAGCUAAACCUAGAAGAUGCAUUAAUAGUGUCAUAGUUUAGGGCAUACAAACAUAAGCCAUACAAAGCGCCACUCAUUUCUUUGCUUCCACAUCCAUCCAUACCACACCUACUACGAUCAUUUUUCCUUCACAAUUAAUUAAUUAUGCAUAUAUAUAUAUAUAUAUAUAUACACAUGUUAGAUAUUUGAGUGUCCUAAAUUAUUGUUGUGGUCCGGCAAAAGGCAGGUUAACACAGGGAUCGAUGGAUGUAAUUUUCAUGGAAAUGUCCUUGUUUUGAAAGUCGCCUGUGGGCAAACUCUGCUUGCUUAAUCAUUCAUGAAGGUCAGCUGGCUACCUAGCUAGCUUUUGGGACUUUGCCAUCGUCUACCAGUUCCAGUCCUCUAUGCAUGAGAUGCUUGAUGUUCAAUUGAUUUCAUGGUGGGCUCUGUUGCAUAUGGAUUGGCCUUUAACAGUUGCCAUCUGGCCUAAAGUUUGCUUGGCGUUGGUGCUGUUUUUGCGGCCUCAAACGUCCAUCUCGGCAUUUAUUUACAGACCCAAACCUUAUCUUCAAGUACAUAUGAUCACUAGGAAGCUAGCUAGUGUUGAUCCAUAUCGAUCAUCCACCGAUCGAUCUUAUUUUUUCAUGCAACCACUCUACAAAUAGAUCAUUUAGUAUAUGUGAUGUCAUUUUUUAGGAAAAUAAUAUGUAUCUUGGAGUACAUGUAACGUUUUUUCUUAGGAAUAGAAUGUGAUGAGUACAUGCAUAUCAUGAAUCCCAAGCAAGGUUCAUUUAUAUGUAACUGACUUCAAGCAUUGUUUUAUCUAACAUAUGAAGUUAUGAUCAACAUAGUUGUUGAUGCCUAAAAAUGGAUGAUUAGUUUUGGAUCUAAUUUAGAGAUGUUGCGUCACCUGUGUAGUACCUGUCGAAGGCUCUCCGAUACUUAAAGUUAGCUUAAGGAUGAAGUAGAUAGCAAUUUGGACAGAGUAAGGAUUAAGUAGCUGAAUGUAAUAGUUACCUUAUUUUGGGGACUUGUGCCCCUAUUUAUAUAUCUUAGGAGUUAUGAUCUUCGAGUGAUAUUUCGAUGUGAAACUAUGGGCAUUACUUGAGAGGAUGCCAUGUGUCCUUUGUCCAGCCUGGUUUAACAAGCACCUUCUUUAGACGGAUUGGCAAGUCGGGUUGCCGAAGGCUAACCAUGUCGAUGGUUUGUUUAUGGGCUGAAUUGCCGAAGGCUCACACCUCGUUGUUUUGACUGGGCUUUGUAGGUUCUUUUGUAGGUCCCAUGUUUCCUGUGUCGCAAAAUAAUUGGCUGGUCAGAUAUGGUAUAAACAAUAGCUAUAGAAGAAAUUAAUUAGUAGGCGUUUAAUUAACUCUGUCUCUAUUUAUAUAAGGAUGUAAGUUAGAUGAGAAAUUCCGAUUUUAAGUGAAAUCAAUGUAGAAAUUCAAGACUUUAGCAUCUAUUUCUAAUAUGAUUAUUUAAUUUCUCAAAAUUUGAAAGUUCAACCACAUAAGAUCUCUCACUAAUUUCUCUAACUUUUCUUAACUCGAUCAUCAAAUUAAGAUGAAGAAAAUGUACUUUCCCUUGAUUUGAUAUGCAUAGAUCACGUGAAUUGGAAAUUUGGGUUCCAACCGCAACCAAUAUAUGACACUUUCGGGUUAUGCUACAACUAAUAAUUCAGGUCCAAAUUUUGGAAUUCCUAGUAUUGGAGAAUGUCGAAACUCUAAAUUUCGUGACUGUACACGUGGCGGGGACGCAUUCGUCAGAAACGCCCGUCUUCUAUUCCCGUAACCAGCGGACGAAAGUGGCAAGUCGUUGUUUACGAAGGCGGCAACCAGAGCACAACAAGCACGAAAGCCGUCUCAUUUUUCCCCCCAAAAUAUCCGCACUACUUCAAUUUAUUUGCGAAAAGCCCAUCUCUGAAAGCGUCUGAUCUGCCGGUCAGUAGGGGUACUUUGGGGUUCACGCCCCAAAAAUAACCGCUAGUUCAUAUUUUUCUCGAUCCUUCCUUACAUGCCCAAAAGAACCAAAACUUGCAAAAGAAGAAGAAAAUUUUCAACCGCGGGCGGAGAUUGAUCCUGGUUCGGGGUUCAUUGGAUUUUCCAUUAUUGAUAAGAAGGUAAAUUUUUCUCUUUUAAAAAAAAAUUAAAUAUUUUCUUGUGGAUUUCUUUGCUUUCUUGCUAAAUUUCUGAAUCAUUUAUAUUUUUAUUGAAGCUCUGCUGUAAAGUGAUACAUAGGAGUAUGAGUGUAAUCUAUUGCUGUUGAAAUAGUGGGAAAGAAAGAAAUCAAAGUUUUGAAUUUGUAAGCACAAAUUUUCUUAAUACCCCGAAAUAUUGGAUCUUUUGUAAGUUAUGAACUUGACUUUAAUUUGGACUUUGUUGACUCAGAUGAUCCAAUUUUUCAGUCCCUUUUGCUGUAUUUUCUCAGGAACCAAACAGAGAGUUUCUGCUGAUCUAGUUCUAAUAUGAAGCCAAAGGAAAAUUGUUAGAACAAGUUUGGUUUUGAAAAGGGGGCGAAAGAUAAAAGUUCUCUGGUUGCAAACCCCUUUGCUGAUAGUGGUUUAGGGUUUUUUUUUUCUUUCCAUUUCUGAUGUUGGUAACAAAACCUUAUUGCUUAUUUUAAUUUUGAGUUCUGUCGUUUUUAUUUCAUAUAGUUCCUUUAUAUCUCUGCAUUAUAAACAGUGGAAAUCAAUUUAUCUACAUGUCAAGGUCAUUUUUACAAUUUUGUUUUUGGUUCCUGAGGUGAGGUCUUUCAAUUGAUGAAGCAGCUUAUCUUUUGAAGCAGUUGUACAGAAUUUGAUGAAUUCCCAGUCUACUUGCCGCAACCAGAGACCCAAAGGGUUGAAGGUAAAGCUGGUCUUUCAGAUUGCUUUGCUUUUGGCUGUUUGCUUCUGGUUGCUAUACCAGAUGAAGUACUCACAUGACAAGGCCUAUAGUGGAAGUGCAGAGAACAAGGUUAGUGAAGAACGCGGUUCUAAUAUUUUGGGGCGCAAAGGGAAUGCAGGGUGGUCAAAAGAUGGCGGUAUAUCUGGAUCAGAAGAUGUAAAUCUUGUGGAAGGAAGCAUAAAGAAAGAAGAUGGAGGUGUUGGAGAUGAUAUGUUAGGUGAAAAUGCUGAAGAGAAUAAUGAAGCAGAAUCUAACAAAGUAGAUGAUCAUGCUCAUGGAAAGCUUGGGAGGCCUGAAGGGAAUGAAAUUGAAAGGGAAACAGAAAUGCAGUACAAAGUAUUGAACAUUACAGAUGAUAAUUCUGAUGUUGAAGACAAAGGAAAUGAUGAACCAGUGGGGCUCAACAGGAACUCAUUGCAAGAAGAAAAUUCUCAAGGGAGACAUGGAGAUACACAGGAAAUUAUCUCGGAUCACGACGGUGAGAAAGAUGUGAAGAAUAUUAGUCAUGAUGAAGUUGGAGAGGAAAACGAGCAAAAUUCACAAGUUAAUCAUGAUAAGCAAGAAAAUGAAAAGGACCGAGAGAAAGAGCCACAGAGAUUGGAGGAGUUUAGUACUAACAAGGACAUUUCAGUACAACAUAGUCAAGGGAAGAGUGACACUCUAAAGGGCCCAGAUUCAGUGGUAGAUGGAGUCCAUGGAUUUAAUGAUGAGAAUGGUGUUCCUGUAGAUGGCAAUGAUCUCAUAGAGUCCAUAGUGACUGGAUCAAGCGAUGAUCAUGCAAUGGUUCUACAUCAGGAAAUGAAUUCAAGUUCAAACAAUCAAAGUGAAACGAAAGAAAACACUAUAAAAGAAGAAGUUGCAGCUAAAGAAGGAACAAAUGGCGCUGAUUUUGAAGCCAAAAGCAAAAUCUUAGUAGAAGACUCAAAAAUCGAUGUGAAACCAAAGGUGGAAACAAGUUCUGGAAUUGGUGUUGACACAAACACCUCGAGGAUCGAUAGCGUUUCAGAAACUACACAGAGAGGCAGUUCAGUUUCAGAUUCUUAAUAGUAAAACAAAGGGUCAUUAACAUUACAGGUUUUUUUCCACACGCCGGAAGUAAAAAGAACAAAAGUAGAAAGUGACUUGAGGCACAUUCCUUGGUGAAUGACAUUGUACAAUCUAAUUCUGAAUUUGUUUUUGCACGUUGUUGACAUUUUCUUUGCCUACAAAAUGAGAAUGGGCGAUACUUUUAUACAAUCUGGUCCCAUGAAUUAUUGAACUUACUUUUGAAAUUGUCCCUUAAAUCUCGGGGUUUUUUUAAAUUUUUUUAAAGAAGUUUUCUUACAAGGUCUCAAUGGGAAACUGGGGGGCCCUUGUUACAAGGUUCCAACUUACAAGAGAUAUCUCAUUGUCAUAUUUCUAUUUACAGAGGAGCUGGCAACCACUAGCAAUGAAUUUUGUGUGUGGUGUAAACUAUGAUAGUACUACUGCAGGACUGUUAUGUGCAAAUUGAAAAUGAUGUUUUGGUCCCCUUCCAUGAUCUUCAACUUCUACCACAUCUUAGAUGUUAGGACAUCCUUGCAAAAGGAAAAGGGAAAAAACAAAAACAUUCAUUGUUAGCUUUCUUUCUUGUGUUGUGGUCUUGGAGACUUGGGAGUUCUUGCAAAACAGAAUGGCGAAUGAGAAACAAUUGAAAUGGGAAGGCAAGGCUAGUGCGGAGCUCAAUGGCCCAGAAGCAGAACAAGUGUGGCCUCUUUUGGAGGACUUCUUUGGCCUGCACAAGUGGUUCCCAACUCUCACAACUUGCCUUGGUGUUGAAGGCAUAUCAGGGCAACCCGGUUGUGUGCGCUACUGCGCUGGGUUCAAGACUCCUGUUGACCAUAAGAGAGAGCAAGACCAAGACCAAGAGAAGGUGAAUUGGACCAAGCAGAAGCUGCUUUCUAUAGACCCAGCACAACUGAUAUUUAGCUAUUCUAUUAUAGAUGGGAAUGUUGGGUUCAACUCAUACAUUUCAACUGUGCAAGUGGUUCCAAAGGAAGGUGGCUGCAGCAUCGUGUGGAAGUAUGAAGUUGAACCCGUGGAGGGGUGGAAAAUGGAGGAUCUGGACAUGUUUAUUGGCACAGGCUUGCAAGUCAUGGCUAGCAGAAUGGAAGCCUCUCUCCAACUCCAAGUUGGGCCACUGGAACCAUAGAGUCAUAACUUGUCUUGCUGUCCCUUGUUGGUGUGACUUUAUUUCUCUUGGCUCAGCAUUAAUAUUGUUGCAGAAAAGGUGUUAUGUGUGUUUUUCUGUGUCUGUUUUCUUCUUCUUCUUUUUUAUUUAUUUAUUUAAAUUUAAAGAUAUGUAUGUCGAUCCAUCAACUAUGUAAAAUCCUGCAGUAAAUUUUAUUUCCUUUUGAUAUCUUUGGAUAGGAAUUAGAAUAGAAGAAAACAUGUGGGUGUGGCUUGUGUUGUUCAUAAAUUAUAAUUUCCUUUUAUGUCUGAAUCAAAAUUUUCUUUUUAAAUUUUCACUAUUUCUCAGCCAUUAUAUUCAAUCGAAGUGGGAAAACAGAAAAUUGGAAGACUUACCAAAGACAAAGGUUAAUGAAGAAGUGGGUUUGUAUUAAUAUGGGAUAAGAGUUGAAGAAAGUGUGUUAGCUCCAUCAGUCCCAGUGCUUCUCAAUAAUGUUGGUAAUAUCAAGUUUAUUGCAGCUUCUAUGUGACUUACCAAAUUGCCUGUUGUAAUUUGGAGGAAGUAAACCAAAUGUCUGUAUGAAAACAGAAGAAAAAAACUCUCUAGUAGUAUUUUCAGCGAAUAUGCGACAGUUAGGCUUUUUAACAGCGGUUUUCGUCCUCUAGCAGCGGUGUCUGUACUUUUUUUGACGGUUUAUAUCUUGGGUCUUAAACAUCUUUAGUCGCGGUAAAAGUCGUCGCUAAGCGUUUCUAAAGACCUCUUUCACAGCGUUCUUGAUAACCGCCGCAAAAAGUUGGAAAAUAAUUAUAAUCCUCUCUCACGCAGGAAACUGGGAGGCGCAAAUGAAAAGAUAAAAAUAAAAACCUCCUUUUUAAUAUCUUUUAUGUAUAUAAACAUAUUACAUGAUAACAUUACUAAACGUUUAUUAAUUGGAUACAUGAAAAUGCCUGUAUGGGAUUGGAAAGAAAUUCAGUGCAAGUUUCUCAUGCCAUCCACAGUACAGAUGACUCCCACCGACAUGCCAGCAACUUCUUGCCUGUUAUCAUUGCUCAAUCCUUCUUUGAGAUGGUCUCUCUUAGAAAUUCCACACCAAUAAAAGUCAGAGCUGAAACUGGAUUAUUCUUAAUCCUAGGAAUGCUACCUCUGAGCAACCUCCUGUGCAUCGUCAGCCAUCCUUAUGCUACUUUGCAUAUAACAGCCAUUGUACCUAAAGUUCACAACAAACAUUAGACGGAAACUGUAAAAUCGUUCUUCUAUCACAUCUAACUUUCAUCCCAUGAGUUUGAAAUAUAUAUCAGGUCGAAAGGAAAGCUCAGUUUGAAAUAACAAUCAACACAAACUUUACCAAAGUACAUAUUUUCUGACUAUAGCCCAUCAAUUAUGUACCCAAUAUUUAAAAUAUUCUUAUCUGGCUAUGAGAUUCAACCAAAAUGGUGGGAAAAGGUGCAUUAUUGAUAAAACAACUACAGCAUUGUAAAAUCCCCUCAAUAAUCACAAAGGAUAAAUGGUGUUUGUGUCUGUGGACCAAGGUGGUCAACAUUCACAUACACAACAGCUGACACAAUACGAAUGCCAAGCCUUGCUCGGAUAACAUUAAGUACUCUAACAACACAACAUGAUGCUUGCAACAAAUUUUUUUUUUCCUACACUAAUAACUAAAAGUUAUAUGAAAGUAAAAAUAAUAAAAAUUAAAAACCACAUAUAGAACUGAUACCUCAAGGUUGAUCCCUGUACUUGCAAUCUUGUUUUGAUCACAUCGAAGGCACCGGUAAGAUAUUUGCAUAAUGCCUGACCAAUUCGAAGCAAGUAUAAAUUACCCUACAGAAAAUGCUGAAUGCAAUUAUACAAGACUUAAACCAGCACCAAGUAGGACAAAGUUUAAGCAAGGUACAUACCACCAGACAAUCCUCCCAGAAUGAGUCUCUCAACAGAACUAUCAAUAUGGAAAUUGGGAUUGCCUGUGGAUUUUUACUUCCCAUACUGCUGCAAAAUUUCAAGCCUUCAUAAUAACCUGCAUACCAGAAAUAAGAACCAGAAUAAGUUAAAAGCAACAGAAUAAUGACAACUAAAUCAUUUAGAGGCCAAAAUCCUAACUGCCUAUUAUUUGCCAAUCAUAAAAGAAAGUAUGUCUGAACUACUGUACUCAUGGUGUAACUGGAUUGCAUGUAGUACAAACUCAAACUAAGUUAACUUCUCUUUUCUUAUAAGAAACAGAGCUCUUAUUAAUGAAAAUAGUGCUACAAGGACGAUAAACGAGAUGUCCAUCUAAAUACUGUUAGCAUCCUCAAUCUCAAACGCAAUUUACAAUAAGAUCAAACUAAGAAUUCAGAGGUCAAGACUCUUAAUUGCCUGAUCUCCAUCAUAAUGAAAAUAGGGAGAAGAGGGAAGGAGGAGGAGGGAACACCAUACAUUUGGAUACCAGGCUUCAUAGGUAAGCUAGCCUUAAGCAGGAAAAUAAAAUGCCAUAUCCAAUACUUGAAAUUUUACUUGAAAUUUUACUUUCUUACAUACAAUUUAUAUGAAGUUAAAAGCCAUCCAACAAAAAAUUGACCUUUAUUACACAUUAGUCAUGAAUGCUACAUCUACAACAUCUUUACUCUAUACCUGACUUGCACAAAGAAUAACUUGCUCUGAAUAUGUGUCUUUACGGUGCCAACCUGAUGCAUCAUUCCUUCCCCACAUGCCCCAGCAAUAGCCCGAGAAACUCCUUCUAAACUACAUUGACAGAUUAAAAAGUCAAUUACCAACUUUCCACUUCCACAGAUAUUUGAAAAUUCUACUAAUCAAAACAUUACAACCGAAUAACCAAACAAAAUUUUUAUACACAUUGUCAUAUACAAUUAUACGUUCACUAAAUAUCAAAAUCCUUGAGUUCUUUUAUUUCCCAACAACAUUUUUUCAUAAUUAAACAGAAUAUUUCCUUUGAUUUCUAACGCUGACUGAAUUAGUUUCUUUAUUACUGAAAAUUUGAAAAAUAAAAAUUGGGUUUUAAGUUGCUUCAAAUUCCAAACAUGCGUAGUUAAACCUAUCAUUAAAAUUCAAUGGAUGCAUUUAGCUAGAAGAUUAAAGUUUUAAUCUUUCAUUAUAAGUUUCACUGCUUGAUGUCUUCCAACGAUCCUAAAAUGUCAGAAUCAAAAUUUUCUUUUUACUUUUUAAAAAUUCUCUCUGUUUCUAGGUCAUAAGAUUCCUAUAAUCGAAAUUAUUAAAGUGGGAAAAUAGAGAAUUGGAAGGCUUACCAAAGGAAAAAGAUAAUGAAAGCCAUGAUUUUUGAUAUGCCAUGUAAUUUGGGAAAAGCAGUCGCAGAGGGAUUUUGAUUUCGCCGUCGAAUCGUCGAUCGCACACCUCUCCCUUUCUCUCUCUCCCGAUCAAUCGUCGAUUGGGCCUGUGGCGUCGAUUGGGCCUCUGCCUCAGGAGACGAGUUUGGGGUGUAGCUUCUUGGACUUUGGAGCUGUUGGGGUUCUCUGUUGGGCUUUGUUUCUAAUCCUUUCCUUGAAUGAAAUUUCAGCUGACAAAAAAUAAAAAUAAAAUAAAAAUGAAUAAUUACGAUGUGUUUGGGAUGUUGUUAUUUCUUGAGGACCCAAAUUAGAAAAACAAGGCAACAGGAUUUAUCCUAGUAGAAAAUAGUUUUGACGUGAAAAACAGUGAUCUCAAUAGCACAUUGAUAGUGUGUGUAAGAAACUCCCUUACUAUUGCUUAUAUUUUUUUAAAAAAGUUUAGCCAAGCACACCAUAAAUUAAAAUUUUGCAACAAUUUUAAAUGAACAACCAAAAUUGAGCUAUGGGGUGAGCAUCAAUCAUGCCAAACUCAUCAAAUCGGCGGAUGAGAAUUAUAGUUACCGGGUUGGUUUGAUUUUGACCCCAAAAAAAAAAAACCUAUUGGUUCAGUUGCGAUUUUGGGCCAUGUUUAGUUAAAUCAUGUUCGAGGAAGAAAUGAUUUUUUUUUAUUUUUAAAAAAUUAAGUUGAAGGUAGAAGAUGGAUUACUCAUGAAGAAAAUUUAUACCAUCUAAUCUUCACAAAAUGGUAGAAUAACAAUAUCUUAUAACUAAUCCCCCAAAAUGGAAAAUUAUUCACCCCUAUCUUCAUUUCCUCCUUUAAUAUAUCUUAGAUUUAGUGACUUUUUCAAUUUAAUCAAAUACUAGUUACUAAAUAUGGUCUUGAUGAUGGCACGUUGAACCAAACCGGCCUAAAUUCAACCAAACCAGUGAAUUAUAUUUUUAUUUUUAUAUUCUUUUAUUUUACACUUGUAGCACUUUCAUUAGAUAAUUACUAGAGAAAGACGGCGAUUUUGAAGUUUGAUGGCACGUUGAAUUCAAGAAUCGAAAAUGUGAAGGACCAAGAGAGAGCCACAGAGUCAAGGGGUUUAGAGUCUUUAGACCGAACAAGGACAUUUCAGUAUAACAUAGUAGGAAGACUGACACUCUUCGUGUCCAGAUUAAGUGGUAGAUAGAGUUCAUGGUUUUGAUGAUGAGAAUGGUGUUUCUGUGGAUGGCAAUGGUGCUGAUUUUGAAGCCAAAAGCAAAAUCUUAGUAGAAGAGUCAAAAAUCGCCAUUAAACCUAAGGUAGAAACGAGUUCUGGAAUUGGUGUUCACACAGGCACCUCAAGGAUCGAUAGCGUUUCAGAAACUACACAGGGGGGCAGUUCAGUUUCAGAUUCUUAAUAAUAAUAAUAAAGGGUCAUUUUUUUCAUUAGCUUUACAAGUAUUUCCACACGCAGAAGAAGUAGUAGCAUUUCUUUUGGUCAAUGACAUUGUACAAUCUAAUUACGAAUUGUUUUGCAAGUUGUUGACAUGUUCUUUGCCUACAACAUGAGAAUUGGCGACGGUUUUGUGGUUGACUCUUGCAGGAAAAAAGGAUGUAUGUACAUUAAAACUCACUUUUGAAAUUGUCACAAAAAUUUUGGUACAAAUCUAUAUGCAGAUACACAGCUUUAUAUAAACCCUCCUUGCAAAGGAAAAACUUACAUUGUUAGCUUU
rnacentral:lncRNA from 1 species